GCACAAAUGUUAAGAACAUUCUAAUAAAAAAGAACAUUGUUAUUAAAGAAUCAUAAGAGAAAGGGAAAGUAGAUUGUUAGUUAUUUUAGCACUGCAGGUGAAAGAAAUUAUUAAAAUUGGCAAGUCAUCCAUUUCUUGAAAUGUUAAAUUUGCAGCAUGGACGAACACUAUUUUCUGUCUUUUCCUUUUCACCAAAGAUUCAACAGCAUGUAUCAAGUUUCAUUUCAUCAUUGCAUGGUACUUUCUUCCAGCAGGUUUUGAUAUAAAGUAGCAUGAUUGUGGAUCAAUGUUCAAUAUUUGUGACAGAAUCGAGCUUGUACAGCAAAGUAAUGAAAUCACUUAAAUUCUCAUCCCCACCCCACACACACCCCAAGAUGUUGCUUAUUUAAAUUUACAAUUUUAAAGUUAAUCUUGCUUAUUUACUUCUAAACAAGUGAUUAAAGGGGCUAUUUGUAGAA